UGGGGAAUAUUGGACAAUGGGCGAAAGCCUGAUCCAGCCAUGCCGCGUGUGUGAAGAAGGUCUUCGGAUUGUAAAGCACUUUAAGUUGGGAGGAAGGGCAGUAAGCGAAUACCUUGCUGUUUUGACGUUACCGACAGAAUAAGCACCGGCUAACUCUGUGCCAGCAGCCGCGGUAAUACAGAGGGUACAAGCGUUAAUCGGAAUUACUGGGCGUAAAGCGCGCGUAGGUGGUUCGUUAAGUUGAAUGUGAAAGCCCCGGGCUCAACCUGGGAACUGCAUCCAAAACUGGCGAGCUAGAGUAGGGCAGAGGGUGGUGGAAUUUCCUGUGUAGCGGUGAAAUGCGUAGAUAUAGGAAGGAACACCAGUGGCGAAGGCGACCACCUGGGCUCAUACUGACACUGAGGUGCGAAAGCGUGGGGAGCAAACAGG
rnacentral:rRNA from 1 species